rnacentral:rRNA from 1 species
UACGUAGGGGGCAAGCGUUGUCCGGAAUCAUUGGGCGUAAAGCGCGUGUAGGCGGCUCGGUAAGUCUGCUGUGAAAGUCCAGGGCUCAACCCUGGAAAGCCGGUGGAAACUGUCGAGCUAGAGUCCGGAAGAGGCGAGUGGAAUUCCUGGUGUAGCGGUGAAAUGCGCAGAUAUCAGGAGGAACACCAAUAGCGAAGGCAGCUCGCUGGGACGGUACUGACGCUAAGGCGCGAAAGCGUGGGGAGCGAACAGG